UACGGGGGGGGUAAGCGUUGUUCGGAAUUACUGGGCGUAAAGGGCUUGUAGGUGGCCAACUAAGUCAGACGUGAAAUCCCUCGGCUUAACCGGGGAACUGCAUCCGAAACUGCCUUGCUAGAGUAUGGGAGAGGGAAGUGGAAUUUCCGGUGUAGCGGUGAAAUGCGUAGAUAUCGGAAGGAACAUCAGUGGCGAAGGCGACUUCCUGGACCAAUACUGACGCUCAGGUGCGAAAGCGUGGGGAGCAAACAGG
rnacentral:rRNA from 1 species